CCCUAGUAACGGCGAGUGAAGCGGCAACAGCUCAAAUUUGAAAUCUGGCCUCUUUUGGUCCGAGUUGUAAUUUGCAGAGGAUGCUUCUGGCGCGGUGCCUUCCGAGUUCCCUGGAACGGGACGCCACAGAGGGUGAGAGCCCCGUAUGGUCGGACACCAAGCCUGUGUGAAGCUCCUUCGACGAGUCGAGUAGUUUGGGAAUGCUGCUCUAAAUGGGAGGUAAAUCUCUUCUAAAGCUAAAUACCGGCCAGAGACCGAUAGCGCACAAGUAGAGUGAUCGAAAGAUGAAAAGCACCUUGAAAAGGGGGUUAAACAGUACGUGAAAUUGUUGAAAGGGAAGCGCUUGUGACCAGACUUGCGCCGGGCGGCUCAUCAGGGGUUCUCCCCUGUGUAUUCCGCCCGGUUCAGGCCAGCAUCGGUUCUCGCUGGGGGAUAAGAACGGUAGGAACGUGGCUCCCCUCGGGGAGUGUUAUAGCCUGCCGUACGAUACCCUGGCGGGGACCGAGGUUCGCGCUCCGCAAGGAUGCUGGCGUAAUGGUCAUCAGCGACCCGUCUUGAAACACGGACCAAGGAGUCGUCCAUUAGAGCGAGCGUUUGGGUGUAAAACCCGCACGCGUAAUGAAAGUGAAAUUAGGUGAGAGCUUCGGCGCAUCAUCGACCGAUCCUGAUGUUCUCGGAUGGAUUUGAGUAAGAGUUUUAACGGACGGACCCGAAAGACAGUGAACUAUGCUUGUAUAGGGUGAAGCCAGAGGAAACUCUGGUGGAGGCUCGCAGCGGUUCUGACGUGCAAAUCGAUCGUCAAAUAUGAGCAUGGGGGCGAAAGACUAAUCGA
rnacentral:rRNA from 1 species